GCUGUGAGGGUGAUGGGCCACACUGGAACUGAUACACGGUCGAGUCUACUACGUGAGGCAGCAGUAUGGUAUCUUCCUCAUUGGACGAUAGUCUGACGGAGCAACGGCGCGUGAGUGAUGAUGGUCUUCGUAUAGGAAAGCUCUGUUGUUCUUGAAGAACAAAGGUGUAAUUAACUGUGCACAUCUUGACGGUUCCUAACGAGUAAGCCACUGCUAAAUACGUGCCAGCAGGC
rnacentral:rRNA from 1 species